CGCGGCCUAUCAGCUUGUUGGUGGGGUAAUGGCUUACCAAGGCGACGACGGGUAGCCGGCCUGAGAGGGUGACCGGCCACACUGGGACUGAGACACGGCCCAGACUCCUACGGGAGGCAGCAGUGGGGAAUAUUGCACAAUGGGCGCAAGCCUGAUGCAGCGACGCCGCGUGAGGGAUGACGGCCUUCGGGUUGUAAACCUCUUUCAGCAGGGAAGAAGCUUUUGUGACGGUACCUGUAGAAGAAGCGCCGGCUAACUACGUGCCAGCAGCCGCGGUAAUACGUAGGGCGCAAGCGUUGUCCGGAAUUAUUGGGCGUAAAGAGCUCGUAGGCGGUUUGUCGCGUCUGCUGUGAAAGCCCGGGGCUUAACUCCGGGUGUGCAGUGGGUACGGGCAGACUGGAGUGCAGUAGGGGAGACUGGAAUUCCUGGUGUAGCGGUGAAAUGCGCAGAUAUCAGGAGGAACACCGAUGGCGAAGGCAGGUCUCUGGGUUGUUACUGACGCUGAGGAGCGAAAGCAUGGGGAGCGAACAGGAUUAGAUACCCUGGUAGUCCAUGCCGUAAACGUUGGGCACUAGGUGUGGGGGGCAUUCCACGGUCUCCGCGCCGUAGCUAACGCAUUAAGUGCCCCGCCUGGGGAGUACGG
rnacentral:rRNA from 1 species